UGACGGUAACAAGGAGAACAGUCUGUGUGCUGGGUGGCUGUGGUCCUUGACGAUGCUGUGCAGCAGGCACCACUCUCCAGUGGAAAAUGUCCUGAAUGGCCAGGAGACAGUUGCCAGUGAUGUACUGUGCUGCCUUCUCCACUCUCUGUAGUGAUUUGCGGCUGUGGGCAGAACAGUUCCCGUACCACACUGUGAUGCAACCCGUCAGCAGGCUCUCGAUGGUGCAUCUGUAGACGUUUGUGAGGAUGCUGGCGUUCAUGCCAAACUACCUCAGUAUUGUCAGGAGAAAGAGCCGCUGGCGGGCUUUCUUAGUUAUUGUGUCCGUGUGCAGUGUCCAGGAGAGGUCCUCACUGAUGUACACACUGAGGAACUUGAAGCUGCUGACCCUUUCAAUGUCAACAUCACCGAUAUGGAUGGGGAGGUGUCCACUCCCCUGCUGUCUCCUGUAGUCCAUGAUCAGCUCUUUAGUUUAGCAGACAUUGAGAGAGAGGUUGUUCCUUAUGCACACGUCAAUAAAGUGAGUCUGGAAAAUGAAUGCAAGUUGUCAGAGUCCAGUUGAUCGGUGACGACAACACCAGACCUUGUCCGGUUUGUAAGCUUCCUAUUUCUCAUCUGCAGAAUUGUCUGUCUUUAUCCAAAACCCCUCCACUGAAGAGAUUUGGAUCAACAAGACCGCUACUGUGGUGUGCGUGGUAAUGGGCACUGAUCUGAGCCAGGUCCAAGUCUACUGGCAAGUGAGCGGAAGGGAGAGAACGACAGGGGCUGUGACCCACCAACCGAGAGGAGAAAGUACCCAAGACAGAGUGAGCAGUAAACUCCGGAGCAGUGUGGAGGAGUGGACCAGCGGGGUGGAGGUUGUGUGCUCUGCCCAACGAUCUCCAUCAUCCUCACCAGUGUCAGCACGGACAGAAAGUGCCAAAGUUGAAACAAAAAGACCCAAGGUCAGACUGCUGCCUCCAGCUCACCAAGAGACCAAGCGCAGCCACACAGCCAUCCUCGAGUGUGUGCUCUCUGGUUUCUACCCGGACCUCAUAAACGUCACUUGGGAGAAAGACGGAGCCCCAAUCUCCUCCACUACCAGCGCUACACCAACUGCUCUGGAGCAAGGGGGGACUUUCAGUGCCAGCCACUUCCUGAAUGUGAGUUCAGAGGAUUGGAAGAAAGGCUCAGUCUUCGGCUGUACAGUGUCUCAUCCCCCCUCGAACACCAGUAUCAGCCGGGAAGUGAAAAGCUUUCAAGAAUUGUCUGUCUUUAUCCAAAACCCCUCUACUGAAGAGAUUUGGAUCAACAAGACCGCUACUGUGGUGUGCGUGGUAAUGGGCGCUGAUCUGAGCCAGGUCCAAGUCUACUGGCAAGUGAGCGGAAGGGAGAGAACUACAGGGGCUGUGACCCACCAACCGAGAGGGGAAAGUACACAAGACAGAGUGAGCAGUAAACUCCGGAGCAGUGUGGAGGAGUGGACCAGCGGGGUGGAGGUUGUGUGCUCUGCCCAACGAUCUCCAUCAUCCUCACCAGUGUCAGCACGGACAGAAAGUGCCAAAGUUGAAACAAAAAGACCCAAGGUCAGACUGCUGCCUCCAGCUCACCAAGAGACCAAGCGCAGCCACACAGCCAUCCUCGAGUGUGUGCUCUCUGGUUUCUACCCGGACCUCAUUAACGUCACUUGGGAGAAAGACGGAGCCCCGAUCUCCUCCACCACCAGCGCUACACCGACUGCUCUGGAGCAGGGGGGGACUUUCAGUGCCAGCCACUUCCUGAAUGUGAGUUCAGAGGAUUGGAAGAAAGGCUCAGUCUUCGGCUGUACAGUGUCUCAUCCCCCCUCGAACACCAGUAUCAGCCGGGAAGUGAAAAGCUUUCAAGGUACGGUGCUGGGAUUCACUCUAAUCAUCACAUCUUUUACCCCAUCACAAAAUAGGGUCCAGGCAAGUUUAGCACUGAAGGACAAGUGUUGCAGUGUGUGAGUGAGUCAAGAAGAGUCAAGAGUGUUUUAUUGUCAUAUGUACCACACGGGACAAGGAAAUUCUUACUUGCUGCAGCACAACAGAAUAUGUGAAUAUGUAAACAUAAUGCAUAACGGGGGAAGUGAAAAAAACACUUCAAUAAAUAACAAAUCGUGCAAAUAACAAAUAAUAGUAAGAUUAAACGAGAACUUACCAGUUUGAAGUUUGAUCUGUAUUUUAUGAGGAGUUACGAUGAGGGAUUACGUGCAGAACCCGCUCAGCACGCAUGCGCGGCAUACUUCAAAGCAGCGGUGUGGAAUCACAGAAAGACCCAGUUAUAGAAAUAAACAUAGUAAAGAAAAGACCUCAGUUAUCAGUUUGACCCAUAUUAUUUUAGGGUGAGAGCGGAGGGCACGUAUUCCCUCAUCGUAACUCAUCGUAAGUUCUCGUUUAAUCUUACUAUUUUACUUCGGAGUCACGUGAGUGACUGCGUGAAGAUUUUAAAGCUCUGUGAUAUCAAACCAUGUAACAUUUCAUACUUCACUCGCUGCCGAAGUCAUUCGAGGGAGGAAGUAUGUUAUCGUAAUCAAUGAUGAAUCUGUUUGUAAAAAUAAUAAUGGUGCUAUUAACAAUAACAAGACCAAAUGCUCCCCUGGCUUAAAUUACAUAUGUUUUGCAGAUUCUUUUCUGCAACCGACAUAGGUUCUGUCAGUGGUUUGUAUUAAAAGUUUGGAACGUAUACUCCCUAGACCACCCCGCUGUAGCCAGGAUGUGGUCCAUAGGCUCGUCCAUCAUCUUAGUCACUGACGUGGAAGCUGUCCUGGUAGAAUAAGAUUUAUACACGUUAGUAUUUACUCCAGCAACUCCCAGUACCUGCUUGAGCCACUAGAGAUAGUUUAGCUCAUCACCUGACCAUGAGGUUUAUUGUGGCUGACCCAUAAGGCUUUUUCCUCUCCCUCGGUAUUGCUUAUUGUGUCGAUGUAGAUCUCUAAGUGGGUCAUGACACAUAAAACGUGGUUCAGGUGGGUAUGCCCGGAAUUCCAUGACUGGACCUGAUGUUCCUGGUCUGUUCUGUUUGGCCAGCCCUUGAAUGGGAAACGUGACACUAUCUGGUGUUAUAACCAUGUUGUCCAAUCGCAGUAGAUGGAAGAACUGGCUCUUUGUGUUGAUGUAAGGCCUCCAGCAUGUCCAUCUUCAGGGUAGGCUGUUCCAGGGUGAGGGACCUGGCUGGUGAUCAUCCCCUAAGGUAUGUCAGGACUUCACUGACAUCCCAAUUUGGGUGUACCUAUUUCUGGGGAAUGUAUGUAUAUACCUCUCCUGUAUCUGAUCACCAGUGAGCGGUACCCUUUGCCCUGUUGUCGUGGUGCCCAACUUGAGCAGGUUGACAGAACUUUUCCUUCAUUGUGGUGGAGACCUGCCAGGAACUCCAGUACAGGUUUUUGUUGUAGUUGAAUGUGUAGUUUCUGUUUUUGAACAGUUUCCCAUUUCUUGAUGUUCGUCAGGUAUGUUCCCUAGUGGAUAUGCGACGGAGUGCUGUCAUCAUGUUGAUAGUGCUGUCUGAUCCAAACACAGCAGUGGUCUUCCCAAUUCUGCAAUUCUUUUAAUGACCAUGUCGAGGAUCGCUGGGAACCAUGCCUGUGGACUUAGUCCACUGUAAUUUGCGUAGUACCCGACUGAUGAAGCCGUAGUACCUAUUGAAGAGGUAGAAGGAAGGGAGAACAUAGAGAUUAGAUUCCCCCCCAAUACGCAGGGAUGAAUUCAUCGCCGCUGGCUUGAGAUUGGUUUCAUGC